UCUAGGAUUUGGUUUAGGUUUUAGGGUUUAAUUUAGGAUUUAGGAUUUGUCUAAGAUUUGAUUUAGGAUUUAAGAUUUGAUUUAAGAUUUGAUUUAAAAUUUAGGAUUUGUCUAGGGUUUGAUUUAGGAUUUAGUUUAGGGUCUAGGAUUUGAUCUAGGAUUUGAUUUAGUAUUUAGAAUUUAUCUAGGAUUUAAUUUAAGAUUUAAGAUUUGAUUUAGGAUUUGAUUUAGGAUUUAGAUUUUAGGAUUUAUUUAGGAUUUGAUUGAAGUCCAUUAGGAUUUCAACCAAAAUUAAAUUAAAACUUACUUGAGAUUUAUUUAAGAUAUAUUUUUGAUUAUUUUAAUAUUUUUUUAGGGCUUCUUAAGAAGUCUUUUAAGAUUUAUUGUGGAUUUUCUUUCAACUCCUUUAAGAUUUCUUAUUUUUUCUUU
rnacentral:lncRNA from 1 species